AUGGCGGGCUCCUGGCGAGCCGCGGCGCUGGCGGUGGCGAUGGUUUGUUUCGUCGCCAGCAGCUGCGUGCUCGGGUUCCCGGAGGAGGAUUUGGUGGGGCGGCUGCCCGGGCAGCCCGCCGUGGGGUUCAGGCAGUUCGCCGGGUACGUGGACGUCGACGUCAAGGCCGGGAGGAGCCUCUUCUACUACUUCGCGGAGGCGCAGGACAACGCCGCCGGCAGGCCGCUCACGCUCUGGCUCAACGGAGGUCCUGGCUGUUCUUCGGUUGGAGGCGGCGCGUUUACGGAGCUCGGCCCGUUUUAUCCCAGAGGAGAUGGCAGAGGCCUUCGGUUAAACAAGAAGUCGUGGAAUAAAGUGUCCAAUCUUCUAUUUGUUGAAUCACCCGCUGGAGUUGGAUGGUCCUACUCCAACACUUCGUCAGACUACAAUACAGGAGAUGCGCGGACCGCUAAUGAUAUGUACAAAUUUCUGUUGGGAUGGUAUAAGAAGUUCCCGGAGUACAGAUCAAGCAGCUUACUUCUUUCGGGAGAGAGCUAUGCAGGGCAUUAUAUACCGCAACUCACCGACGUCCUUCUCACACACAAUGAGAAAUCUAAGGGUUUUAAGUUCAAUAUCAAGGGGGUAGCUAUCGGGAAUCCGUUACUCAAGCUUGACAGGGAUGUCCCCGCGACAUAUGAGUACUUCUGGUCCCAUGGUAUGAUAUCCGAUGAGAUAUUUCUGGCCAUAAACAAGGGUUGUGAUUUUGAGGAUUACACAUUCGGUAGCCCCCACAAUGAGAGCAAGUCAUGCAAUGAUGCCAUUGCGGAGGCAAAUGCUGUAGUUGGACAAUAUGUCAACAACUAUGAUGUCAUUCUCGACGUCUGUUACCCAUCGAUUGUGAUGCAGGAGCUACGACUGCGCAAAUAUGUGACCAAGAUCAGUUUAGGAGUGGAUGUUUGCAUGUCAUAUGAAAGGUACUUCUACUUCAAUCUUCCAGAAGUGCAGCAUGCUCUUCAUGCUAAUAGAACACAUCUACCUUAUGGCUGGGGCAUGUGCAGUGAUGUGCUGAAUUACACCGAUAAGGAUGGUAACAUCAACAUCUUGCCUUUACUUCAGAGAAUAGUGGAACAUAAGAUACCAGUUUGGAUAUUCAGCGGCGAUCAAGACUCUGUGGUGCCCCUCUUGGGCUCCCGAACCCUUGUGCGAGAGCUAGCUCAUGACAUGGGGUUGCCUGUCACAGUUCCGUACAGUACUUGGUUCCGCAAAGGCCAGGUUGGAGGCUGGACAACAGAGUACGGUAAUCUUCUGACCUUUGCAACAGUGCGGGGCGCAUCUCACAUGGUGCCAUUUGCACAGCCAGACCGAGCUCUCGGCCUAUUUCGCUCAUUUGUGCUUGGACAGAGGCUCCCAAACACAACCUAUCCACCCAUUGGCGACUAA
rnacentral:rRNA from 1 species